UAUGCACCUAAUUCAAUAAAAUUAUGAAGGUUACUCUGAUUCCUAUGUAUAAAAUGCAAAAUAUUUUGGGGUUUUUUGCAGGUUAGGUAGACAUAAUUUGCCUGCCUUUCAAUCUCAGUAUUUAAACCUAUGCAUGGUUCUGCUCUAGUACACGUGCCGCGUACAUUCCUACCACAACAUUUUCUUUAAGCGCUUUAAAGGCUGAAGGAAAUCUGCCUUUGACUCAGUUGUGUGCCUGAGUUUUGCUUUUUUUGUGUUUUACUGCAUAAUCGUCACCAACUGCCUACCCUGGGUAAUUACUGAUGAUACCAUACCUGAUAUAUAUAUAUAUAUAUGACAGGCUUAUUUCAAUUUCCAUCUGACAAAUCCACUCAGGUUUUGGUUGGCCCGUGGCUAUAGUAGAAGACACUUGGCCCAGGUGCCAUGCAGUGGAACUGCUCCCUGAACCAUGUGGUUGGAAACCAAAGCUUUUUACCACACAGCCACUCCUGCGCCUAUAUUAUUAUUAUUAUUAUUAUUAAAGACAGCAGGCAGGCAGAAUUGUUAGCACAGAAGGCAGAAUGCUUAACAGCAUUUCAUCUUUCUUCACAUUCUGAGUUCAAAUUCCACUGAGGUUGGUUUUGCCUUUCAUCCUUUCAGGGUUGAUGAAAUAAGUACCAGUCAUUCACUGGGGUUAAUUUGAUUGACCCCGCCCCCUCCCUCGAAAUUGUUGGCUUUGUGCCAAAAUAUGAAGCUAUUAUUAUUAUUUGUAGGUUUAAUUCUUAAGAGAAAAUGAUGAUGUCCAUAUGUAUAUAAUACAAUGGCAGCAAUGGCAGAUUGAUAAUUCCUAAUGUAAUUAUUGCUAAUUGAUUGCCUGAUAAAUAAGCUGGCGGCUGUUUAAAUUUUGAGUAAGUUUUGCUAUUCUCAACUUGUGUUUUUUUAGUAAUGAUGCAUUGGCAUUUAAUGUGUUUGGUGUUUGUGUUUCAUUGGCACCACAUUUGUCGAUGCAUAGGGCUUCAACUUUGGUAGAACUAAAAGUGGUUGUCUUCAGAAAGAGCAUCAAGCUGGAGAAACCAUGCCAAAACAGACCAUGAAACCUUGUGGCUUCUGGCUUUUCUGACUCCUGUCAAACUGUCCAACCCAUGCCAACAUAAGAAAGAAAAUGUUAAAUGAUGGUGAUGAUGAUGAUGAUCUCUGAUGUGCUCAUGCUUUGGUAAAAGGCCAUUUGGCAGAAUGUAUAAGCUGCUAAAUUUAAUAACCUAGGAAGAAACCUGCAUGAAUAAUGUUGAGUAAAGUUGUGAUGAUGUUGACAUUCUUUUCUGCUAUUAUGAUUGGACACUAUGCUUUUGAGACCCAGAGAGUGGUGGGGAGAAGAAAUAUUGUUUGAAAAUAAGUAUUAGUUGGUGACAGGAAGAGCAUCCAGCUUGUAAGAUCCUGCCUUAAAUUCCUCUCCAUCCAAAUCUAUGCUAGCAUAGAAACAUUGGAAGUUAAACUAAUGAAUGACAGCCUCCACACAGCCACAUCUGCCGCACCUCAUCUAUUACAUAUGACAUAUCUAUGUGUGUGUUUGUGUAUAAUACAAUUCAUGACAAGCAAACAAAAGUAUAGUCACUGUAAAGAUACAAUACAUUUGCUUUCUCUCUCUCUCUCCCUAUAUAUAUAUAUAUAUAUAUAUAUAUAUAUAUAUAUUUAAUAGAAAUAUUAAAAUUACUAAGUCUCUCUAAAAGUGAUUGCGGCAGCGUUACUGGAAAUUAAUAUGGCGAUAACAAUAUAUAUAUUUAUUUAUUUAUUUGCAAUGUACAAAUCAAUGCAGGGAGUCAUUUCAGGGUCCAACAGUUUGAUGACUUAUUUCUAAUCUGUGGAGAUAAGUCAUAUUUCGUUUCGGUUGGAAGAACUAAUAAAUACCGUGAAGUUAAAUCACUCGUUUUGUUUAACUUCAGGGGUAGAUAUCACCGUAUGGUGGUGGUGGUGGGGGGUGGGGGAAAGACACCUCAAAUUUUCAAUGGAGUUAUUAUGGAUGGCAGACAAACCUUCCUGAGUUAACAAUCUAACAGUUGGCAUUUCCCUUGGAAAGAAAUUGAAGUUAGGCCACAGCAGUCGCUGUACAACAGAGAACCAUAGUAUAUACUAGGCUCCGUCUGUUUUUGUAGCAUUAAGAACAUAAAUGACUCUUGCCUUUUCACUCCAGCCAGAGUAACAAUUUUUGUAUUUUAUAUGCAAGUAAAGCAGUAAAAUAUUGGAGUCAGUAGCCAUGGGGAAAUUAUACAUUUCUCCAUGACUACUAAAACCCACAAAUUUCAGCUAAUUACCAUAUAAAAUGUAACAUUUAAUUCUAGAAAUCUGUUACAUUUCAUAUCCUAGAUCUUGUAUGCUGAAAAAAGUAAAAUUGCUUUGUUUUCCCUUUAAGAAAAUAAUUCAAGCUUUUGAUGUAUUGUACACCUUUUACUUUGAUGUAUUGUACACCUUCUAUUUUGGCAGAACAACCAGAACAUCAAACUGUAAUUUAUUAUUGCAGCAAUUAAUUUCAACUCUUUAGGUUUUGAGUUCAAAUCUCAUGAUGUUGUUUAGUUGCUUCUUGAUGCUCAAGCUGUAUGUCACAAGUAAUACGAGAGUGUUUAAAUCUGUUGGCCAUGUUCAGUUCACUUUUUUGCUUCCAUACAUAAUCUCCUGUAGUGCUCCCUUUGGGUCUCUUCUUACAUAACUGCAUUUUGUAUGUUGCCGCCUUCGUAUACUUGUAUAUAGCCUUGCACAUGGCUCCUUACUUUAUGUAGCUCCUUGAGCACAGUGUCAUCGAAGUUUGCAAUCUUAGUCAGCCUCCCCCCCUCUUUUUUUAAAGGUAUUUUAAGCAUCCUUCUUGAUUCCCCAGAUCUGUUUUGAUAUCAUUACUGAAGAUCUAAACGGUAGCAGCAAGACCUGUCAGCUGGUUAUCUCCCUUGACAUCUUAAGGUCGUCACUGUAUGAGCAGAUGGUUCACUUUGCCAUUCUGUGAGUUGUAUCCACAGAAUUGUUGUUUAGUAGACUGCAGAGAGGUGCUCGCACAAGGCAGAACAUGAGUAGUGAUAACGAGUGGUCUUUGGGGGGGGUAUAUCGCUUCUUAUGUUGAUUGGUUUUGAUGUUACCAGCCCAUCAGUUUAGUAGGGAUUCAGUGCCCUUCUUCUGAGUCUUCAUGCUCUUUGUGUUGCAUAUGAUAAUUCUAGGCAGACUUUGUAGAUCUUCAGCCUCUUUUUUUAUCCAGGUGUGUAGAUCCUUGUUGCUGAGAAUUAUUAUUAUUAUUACUUUUAGUGGUGAGCUGCUAGAAUAAUUUGAACAUUGGGCAAAAUGCCUUGCAGUUCUUCACAUUUUGAGUUCAAAACACACUAAGGUCAACUUUGCCUUUUGUCCUUUCAGGGUCAAUGAAAUAAAGUACCAGUCAAGUACUGGGGUCAGUUUAAGUCCUCUAUCCCCCUGUCCUAAAUUUUCUGGCCUUGUGCCUUUAUUUUGAGGCAGUUAUUAAAGGUGGUAGAUUGGCAGAAUUGUUAAAGGGUCAGACAAAAUGUCCAUGGUGUGUGUCUUUUAGCUCUUUGAGUUCAAAUCCCAUCAAGGUCUAUUUUGCCUUUUAUCCCAAGGGGUGGUGAUCAGUGUAAUCAGAUAACAUCUCACCCCACUAACUUGUUGUCCUUAAGCUUAAAUUAUAAAAUAUCAUUGCCAAUGCAUUUACUUUCAGUGUAAAUGGUUUACAAUAAAGGUAGAUCGAAAAAUAACAUUUUUUAAUAUAAAUACUAAGGUGACCUAAAACCACCUUGUAAAGAUAUGAAGCAAGAUAUUUUCAGAAACAUUUGCGGAUCACAUGUUAAAUGUUAAUGUCCCAUGAGAAUGACCCGAUGGACACCACAUGUUUUUGUUUGUCCUCUUCCCAGUUUUCAUAUCCAUGUUAGAAGUGAAUAUUACUGUAAUUAUUGGUGGAUUGGCAGAAUUGUUAAAACAUCCAGUCAAAUACCUUGCAGUGUCUGUUUGAGUUCUUUACAUUCUGAGUUCAAAUCCUGCCAAGGCUAACUUUACCCUUUAUGCUUUAAUAAAGGACCAGUCAAGCACUGGGGAUCAAUUUGAUUAAUUUGUGAUUUUGGGCCUAUAUUAUAGAAACCAUCAUCAUCAUAAAAACAGCAAGCUGGCAGAAUUGUUAGCAUGCCAGGCAAAAUGCUAAGUGACAUUUUGCCUGUUUUUACAUUCUGAGUUAAAAUUUCACUGAGGUCGACUUGGCCUUUCAUCCAUUUGGAGGUCAAUAAAAUAGGUAUCAGCUGACCACCGGGGUUGGUGUAAUUGACUUACCCCCUCCCUUGAAAUUGAUGGUCUUGUGCCAAAAUUUGAAACUAUUUAUUAUUAUUGUUCAUAUACACACAACAUAUUAAACUGUGGGGAAAAGAAAAAUUCCUAACAGUGGGUUACAACAAAUAACCUUAGAUUUCAAGAACCCUCCUAAAUAUCCUAGCUGUCCUAAUAACACGGUUUUCUGGAGCUGUACUAAACUGGGUUUUAUUAUUAUUAUUAUUAUAUAAGAGGUAGCAGAUUGGCAGAAUCAUUAGAGUGUAUAAGACAACAUGCUUUGUGGUAUUUGUUCCUGCUUUCUACAUUCUAAAUUCACAUCCUACCAUGGUCAGUUUUAUAUUUUCUCUUUUCUGUAUUGAUAAAAUGAAAUAUCAAUCAAGUUCAGGGUUGCCCCCUGUACUUUUGUUUAGAAGUUAUUAUUAAUUGCCAAAUGAUAUAUCUGUGAUUUAAAUGGAAUUAUUAAUUUUUUUUUUUUUUUUUUUUUCACGUGUAUGUUUCAAUCCUAAAGUUGGGUUUUGAUUAAAUAUGCAGGUAAAAAUAUUUGGGAAAACUUCUAUAAUUCUGUUUUUGUGCCAAGCUUCAUUCUGGUGCACGUUUAUAAACACACACACACACACACAUAUCUGUCGGUCUGUCUGUUUGUCUGUAUGUUGUCUCAAGUACCACAAACGAGAGACAAAGAUUUAAUUUUUUCCCAAAUAUUGUUUUAACCAAAAAGCAAAGGAAGAUAAAAUGGAUAGAUUCAGAACUCUUUUUUUUUUUCUCAAGUAAUUGAUAUUUAUUAAUCUAAAUAAUUUAGACAUUAAACAAAUGUAGGGUUAAACAAUUAUUUCUUUUUUUUCUUUUUUUUUUUUUAAGAAAAAAAAAAACACCUACAAAAAAUGCAUCUGUUUUGAAUUAUUUCUUUGAUUAUCUUUGUUAAU
rnacentral:lncRNA from 1 species